CUUUGUCCAUCGUCUCAAAAGUUGGCAAAAAACAUCAGUUUUAUGGAUUUCCUUUUAAAAGAGUAUCCAAAAUAGCCAAAUUUGAUAAUGAUACAGUUGAACAUCUUAUACAAUUUAGUGAACUACUUAAUAUGGGAUUUGAUGAAUCAAAAAUUCCGAAGCCCUUGUCAAGUUCAAUAAGAACAAAGUUAGAGCUUGACUUCCUUAUUGUUAUUUAUAGCUUGUUUUUAAUACAAUGUAUAGUAGGCCUUACCCAUAAAUAUUUGUAAACAAGUUUCUUUCCAUACCAACUUGGUAGCUACAUAUAUGUACAAAGCAAAAAUGCAAUAGAAAAACACUUUAUAAUGAAAUGUAUCUAUUAAUUUAUUAUUAUUGAGAAAAAUAAAUACUUAGCAUUACAA